rnacentral:rRNA from 1 species
UCGAUCCUGGCUCAGAUUGAACGCUGGCGGGAUGCUUUACACAUGCAAGUCGAACGGCAGCACGGACUUCGGUCUGGUGGCGAGUGGCGAACAGGUGAGUAAUGUAUCGGAACGUGCCUAGUAGCGGGGGAUAACUACGCGAAAGCGUAGCCUAACCGCGCAUACGCCCUUCGAGAAGGAAAGCGGGGGACCUUCGGGCCUCGCACUAUUAGAGCAGCCGAUAUCGGAUUAGCUAGUUGGUGGGGUAACGGCUCACCAAGGCGACGAUCCGUAGCUGGUUUGAAGAGGACGACCAGCCACACUGGGACUGAGACACGGCCCAGACUCCACGGGAGGCAGCUUGAUGGGAAUUUUGGACAAUGGGGGAAACCCUGAUCAGCCGCUCCCGCGUGUGCGAUGAAGGCCUUCGGGUUGUAAAGCACUUUUGGCAGGAAAGAAACGGCACGGGAUAAUACCCCGUGCAACUGACGACACCUGCAGAAUAAGCACCGGCUAACUACGUGCCAGCAGCCGCGGUAAUACGUAGGGUGCAAGCGUUAAUCGGAAUUGCUGGGCGUAAAGCGUGCGCAGGCGGUUCGGAAAAGAAAGAUGUGAAAUCCCAGGCUUAACUUUGGAACUACAUUUUAACUACCGAGCUAGAGUGUGUGUCAGAGGGAGGUGGAAUUCCGCGGCAGCAGUGAAAUGCGUAGAUAUGCGGAGGAACACCGAUGGCGAAGGCAACCUCCUGGGAUAACACUGACGCUCAUGCACGAAAAGCGUGGGGAGCAAACGGAUUAGAUACCCUGGUAGUCCACGCCCUAAACGAUGUCAACUAGCUGUUGGGGCCUUCGGGCCUUGGUAGCGCAACUAACGCGUGAAGUUGACCGCCUGGAAGAGUACGGUCGCAAGAUUAAAACUCAAAGGAAUUGACGGGGACCCGCACAAGCGGUGGAUGAUGUGGAUUAAUUCGAUGCAACGCGAAAAACCUUACCUACCCUUGACAUGUCUGGAAUCCCGAAGAGAUUUGGGAGUGCUCGCAAGAGAACGAACCGGAACACAGGUGCUGCAUGGCUGUCGUCAGCUCGUGUCGUGAGAUGUUGGAGUUAAGUCCCGCAACGAGCGCAACCCUUGUCGUGGAUUGCUACGAAAGGGCACUCGUAGGACUGCCCAUUCGCAAACCGGAGGAAGGUGGGGAUGACGUCAAGUCCUCAUGGCCCUUAUGGUGGGGCUUCACACGUCAUACAAUGGUCGGGACAGAGGGUCGCCAACCCGCGAGGGGGAGCCAAUCCCAGAAACCCGAUCGUAGUCCGGAUCUUGAUCUGCAACUCGACUGCGUGAAGUCGGAAUCGCUAGUAAUCGCGGAUCAGCAUGUCGCGGUGAAUACGUUCCCGGGUCUUGUACACCGCCCGUCACACCAUGGGAGUAGGUUUUACCAAAGUAGUUAGCCUAACCGUAAGGAGGGCGAUUACCACAGUAGGAUUCAUGACUGGGGUGAAGUCGUAACAAGGUAG